rnacentral:rRNA from 1 species
AACGCACGCUGGCGACAUGCCUAACACAUGCAAGUCGAACGAGAUCUUCGGGUCUAGUCGCGCACGGGUGCGUAACGCGCGGCAAUCUGCCCUUCGGUCCGGAAUAACAGUUGGCAACGACUGCUAACACCCGAUGGUGACGAAACUCCAACGAUUUAUCGCCAGAGGAUGAGCCCGCGUAGGAUUAGCUAGUUGGUGUGGUAAAGGCGCACCAAGGCGACGAUCCUUAGCUGGUCUGAGAGGAUGAUCAGCCACACUGGGACUGAGACACGGCCCAGACUCCUACGGGAGGCAGCAGUGGGGAAUAUUGGACAAUGGGCGGAAGCCUGAUCCAGCAAUGCCGCGUGAGUGAUGAAGGCCUUAGGGUUGUAAAGCUCUUUUACCCGGGAUGAUAAUGACAGUACCGGGAGAAUAAGCUCCGGCUAACUCCGUGCCAGCCGCCGCCGUAA